AUCGAACGCUGGCGGCAGGCCUAAUACAUGCAAGUCGAACGAGUGGCGGAGGGGUGUGUAAUGUAUGGGACCUACCCAGAUGGAGGGGGAAAACUACGGGAAAAGGUAGCUAAUACCGCUUACCGUCACCAGGGUCCAGAGGGGCUUAGUUAGUUGGUGGGGUAACGGCUCACCAAGGCGACGAUCCCUAGCUGGUCUGAGAGGCUGACCGGCCACACUGGAACUGAGACACGGUCCAGACUCCUACGGGAGGCAGCAGUGGGGAAUAUUGCACAAUGGGCGCAAGCCUGAUGCAGCCAUGCCGCGUGUAUGAAGAAGGCCUUCGGGUUGUAAAGUUCUUUCAGCGGGGAGGCGUUACCUGCAGAAGAAGCACCGGCUAACUCCGUGCCAGCAGCCGCGGUAAUAC
rnacentral:rRNA from 1 species